UACGUAGGUGGCAAGCGUUGUCCGGAUUUACUGGGUGUAAAGGGCGUGUAGCCGGGCUGACAAGUCAGAUGUGAAAUCCGGGGGCUCAACCCCCGAACUGCAUUUGAAACUGUUGGUCUUGAGUAUCGGAGAGGCAAGCGGAAUUCCUAGUGUAGCGGUGAAAUGCGUAGAUAUUAGGAAGAACACCAGUGGCGAAGGCGGCUUGCUGGACAGUAACUGACGUUGAGGCUCGAAAGCGUGGGGAGCAAACAGG
rnacentral:rRNA from 1 species